GUGUUCACUUCAGCAGCACAUAAGCGUUUAAAACUGGAACAAAGCAGAAAAAAAUAGCAAGGCUCCUGCACAAAGAUGACAUGCAAAUUUGUGAAGCAUCCCAUAUUUCU
ensembl:snRNA U6 U6 spliceosomal RNA